rnacentral:rRNA from 1 species
GACGAACGCUGGCGGCGUGCCUAACACAUGCAAGUGGAGCGACGAACCAGGGCUUGCCCUGGAGCAAAGCCGCGAACGGGUGAGUAACACGUGGGUAACCUGCCCCGAUGAUUGGGACAACCCGAGGAAACUCGGGCUAAUACCGAAUGUGCCCUGCCUGCCCAAGCCGGCGUGGGGAAAGGAAGCUUCGGCCUCCGCAGCGGGUGGGGCCCGCUGCCCAUUAGCUAGUUGGUGAGGUAAAGGCUCACCAAGGCAACGAUGGGUAGCUGGUCUGAGAGGACGAUCAGCCACACUGGGACUGAGACACGGCCCAGACUCCUACGGGAGGCAGCAGUGGGGAAUCUUGCGCAAUGCGCGAAAGCGUGACGCAGCAACGCCGCGUGGGGGAAGAAGGCCUUCGGGUUGUAAACCCCUUUCAGGAGGGACGAAGGUGCGGCGGCGAAUAGCCGACCGCACUGACGGUACCUCCAGAAGAAGCCCCGGCUAACUACGUGCCAGCCGCCGCGGUAA